rnacentral:rRNA from 1 species
UCGAGAAUCUUCGGCAAUGGGCGCAAGCCUGACCGAGCGACGCCGCGUGCGGGAUGAAGGUCUUCGGAUUGUAAACCGCUGUCGGGAGGGAUGAAGUGUACCGGGGUUCUCCCCGGUAUUUGACAGAGCUCCAGAGGAAGCACGGGCUAAGUUCGUGCCAGCAGCCGCGGUAAUACGAACUGUGCGAACGUUAUUCGGAAUCACUGGGCUUAAAGGGUGCGUAGGCGGUUUGCUAAGUCAGGUGUGAAAGCCCUCGGCUCAACCGGGGAACAGCGCUUGAAACUAGCGGACUAGAGUGAGGUAGGGGUGUACGGAACUUCCAGUGGAGCGGUGAAAUGUGUAGAUAUUGGAAGGAACGCCGGCGGCGAAAGCGGUACACUGGGCCUUGUCUGACGCUGAGGCACGAAAGCCAGGGGAGUGAACGG